GCGCGUUUUCCAGCAGGAUAGAAACCUGUCCUAGAAGCAACAAUUGUUGUUGGCUUGCCACUGCAGAUUCGGACAUCUAUUUGGAAAAAAUCAUCUUCUGUUUUAUCCUCAAGGAAUGGUCGACUUGAUCUCCUAAUAUAUUGGAUCGGAGGAGUGAGAUGAGCAAACGAGAAGAAAUCAUAGAACUGUCCUAGUCGCGGCGGAGGACACAUCAUCGCGGGGUCACCUUUCUCCGCCGCUUCACCGGCAUCGACGCCGUCACAUACGGCGGCGACGCCAUCUGGCUUUGACGGUUUAGCGCCGGCCUUUUUCGGUUCCUGAGGUUUGGUCUUGCCUGAUUUAGGUUCGGAGAGUGCAUUUUCUGAACCGGGUUCAGUACCGGUUCGAUUGGUGGGUUUGGUCGAAGAAGAUGAACCGGCGAAUGAAGUGGUGCAUGCAACUAUGUCGAGAAGUCUUCUAAUAUGCGCCACUGACUGUUCUUCUGUAUAAUCCUCUUCGACUAAGCUGAGGUGGCACGGUUUUAGCGACACAAUUUCCACCGUAUCUUUUAGCCUUGUU
rnacentral:misc_RNA from 1 species